UUGAAUAAUUCUGAAAGCGAUGUGUUAAGGGCGACAGCAAGAGAAAGUUUCGGAAAAUUACGGUGGGGAUGUCUCUCCGGGCUGUGUGAUUUCGACGGCUGGCAUCACUUGCAACAGUGUUUCGUCGGUUUCGUCUUUGCCGACAUCAACAAGAUCACCGGAUCGUUUGACAAGCACCCACCCGACUUGCGGUCUUUGAUGCGUUCCUUUUAAUUGUGAAGUGAAUCGGGCAAGAUGAUAACACACAGAGGCGCCCAAAUGCAUCGGAAAGCCUACCGGUGGGAGGCGAGCGGCGCUGUUCUUUCUUUUAACCUCUCAGGUGUUCCGAGAUUUCAUUCAAGUCAUGUUACUGCAUUUGGGCCAGGCCCCUGGGAAACACUGGGUAGCCAGUUCUGGAUGUCAGGGGAGUCUUGGGAUCAAGCCAACCUGCUGUGUCCCAGCGUGCGAUCUUUUGUGACCCCUCUACAUCUUUAACCUAUCUUGCUGCUGUAUCUUGGGUUCCAUCUAUCCUAACAGCAUCACCAGCUGCGACCACUGAGUGAAUACUAUGCCAAGAAAACACGGCAGUGGCGAAGCCAUGGGCGAUCUGGAACAGCGUCGCCUGUGUUUUCUGAAAACUGCUCAUUAACAGUUAACAGCGACGACUGGGGUAAGUCAAACAGUGUAUCUUCUUUGAGGCCCUCAGCAUUUUUAGCAAUCAUUCAGGUGCUGUGCUGCAGGUGACUCGAGUCCUCUUCUCAUACAAGGGGAGCACUGAGUGGAAGACAAAACAUAGACUGAAAAGAGACGAGAUGCUUUUGAGUGUCUCUGUGUUUAACCGUGUGUAGGCACCCACUUAUGUAAAUAAAUGUAAAGAGUUUUGUUCCGUU